CUCGCGGCUGUCACGUCUGCGGCUGUCACGUCUGCUAGGGGGUUGGGGGGUCCAGGAAGGGCAGCGAGU